rnacentral:rRNA from 1 species
AUACAGAGGGUGCGAGCGUUAUUCGGAAUUACUGGGCGUAAAGCGCGCGUAGGCGGAAGCGCAAGUCGGGUGUGAAAUCCCCGGGCUCAACCUGGGAACUGCAUCCGAGACUGCGUAUCUAGAGUACGGUAGAGGGUAGCGGAAUUCCUAGUGUAGCGGUGAAAUGCGUAGAUAUUAGGAGGAACACCAGUGGCGAAGGCGGCUACCUGGACCGAUACUGACGCUGAGGUGCGAAAGCGUGGAGAGCAAACAGGAUUAGAAACCCCAGUAGUCC